AGUCGAGCGGGUUUUCCUUCGGGAUAGCUAGCGGCGGACGGGUGAGUAACACGUAGGUAACCUGCCUUUAAGACUGGGAUAACUAUCGGAAACGAUAGCUAAGACCGGAUAACUGGUUUUCUCGCAUGAGAGAAUCAUAAAACACGGAGUAAUCUGUGGCUUGAAGAUGGGCCUGCGGCGCAUUAGCUAGUUGGUGAGGUAACGGCUCACCAAGGCGACGAUGCGUAGCCGACCUGAGAGGGUGAACGGCCACACUGGGACUGAGACACGGCCCAGACUCCUACGGGAGGCAGCAGUAGGGAAUCUUCCGCAAUGGACGCAAGUCUGACGGAGCAACGCCGCGUGAGUGAUGAAGGUUUUCGGAUCGUAAAGCUCUGUUGCCCUAGACGAACAGCAAGAGGAGUAACUGCCUUUUGUGUGACGGUAUAGGAGAAGAAAGCCCCGGCUAACUACGUGCCAGCAGCCGCGGUAAUACGUAGGGGGCAAGCGUUGUCCGGAAUUAUUGGGCGUAAAGCGCGCGCAGGCGGUCAUUUAAGUCUGGUGUUUAAUCCUGGGGCUCAACCCCAGUUCGUAUCGGAAACUG
rnacentral:rRNA from 1 species